rnacentral:snoRNA from 1 species
GGGAGUUGACCUUGUAAAGUGAAGGCAAAAACACUGAUUUAAUUAGCCUGAUCC